GACGAACGCUGGCGGCGUGCUUAACACAUGCAAGUCGAACGGUGAAGCCCUUCGGGGUGGCUCAGUGGCGAACGGGUGAGUAACACGUGAGCAACCUGCCCCUGGCUCUGGGACAACCACUGGAAACGGUGGCUAAUACCGGAUACGACCCGCCUCGGCAUCGAGUGUGGGUGGAAAGUUUUUCGGCUGGGGAUGGGCUCGCGGCCUAUCAGCUUGUUGGUGAGGUGAAGGCUCACCAAGGCGACGACGGGUAGCCGGCCUGAGAGGGCGACCGGCCACACUGGGACUGAGACACGGCCCAGACUCCUACGGGAGGCAGCAGUGGGGAAUAUUGCACAAUGGGCGGAAGCCUGAUGCAGCGACGCCGCGUGAGGGAUGACGGCCUUCGGGUUGUAAACCUCUUUCAGCUCCGAAGAAGCGAAAGUGACGGUAGGAGCAGAAGAAGCACCGGCUAACUACGUG
rnacentral:rRNA from 1 species